GCGUUUUUAGUUUAAUGGAUAAAACAUCAAUUUUCUAAAUUGAUAAUUAUAGGUUCAAGUCCUAUAAAAUGCA
rnacentral:tRNA from 1 species